AUUGAACGCUGGCGGCAGGCUUAACACAUGCAAGUCGAGCGGGGGAAGGUAGCUUGCUACCGGACCUAGCGGCGGACGGGUGAGUAAUGCUUAGGAAUCUGCCUAUUAGUGGGGGACAACAUCUCGAAAGGGAUGCUAAUACCGCAUACGUCCUACGGGAGAAAGCAGGGGAUCUUCGGACCUUGCGCUAAUAGAUGAGCCUAAGUCGGAUUAGUUAGUUGGUGGGGUAAAGGCCUACCAAGGCGACGAUCUGUAGCGGGUCUGAGAGGAUAAUCCGCCACACUGGGACUGAGACACGGCCCAGACUCCUACGGGAGGCAGCAGUGGGGAAUAUUGGACAAUGGGGGGAACCCUGAUCCAGCCAUGCCGCGUGUGUGAAGAAGGCCUUAUGGUUGUAAAGCACUUUAAGCGAGGAGGAGGCUACUUUAGUUAAUACCUAGAGAUAGUGGACGUUACUCGCAGAAUAAGCACCGGCUAACUCUGUGCCAGCCGCCGCGGUAA
rnacentral:rRNA from 1 species